rnacentral:rRNA from 1 species
GUGGCGAACGGGUGAGUAACACGUGAGCAACCUGCCCUGGACUCUGGGAUAAGCGCUGGAAACGGCGUCUAAUACUGGAUAUGAGCUUUCACCGCAUGGUGGGGGUUGGAAAGAUUUUUUGGUCUGGGAUGGGCUCGCGGCCUAUCAGCUUGUUGGUGAGGUAAUGGCUCACCAAGGCGUCGACGGGUAGCCGGCCUGAGAGGGUGACCGGCCACACUGGGACUGAGACACGGCCCAGACUCCUACGGGAGGCAGCAGUGGGGAAUAUUGCACAAUGGGCGAAAGCCUGAUGCAGCAACGCCGCGUGAGGGAUGACGGCCUUCGGGUUGUAAACCUCUUUUAGCAGGGAAGAAGCGAAAGUGACGGUACCUGCAGAAAAAGCGCCGGCUAACUACGUGCCAGCAGCCGCGGUAAUACGUAGGGCGCAAGCGUUAUCCGGAAUUAUUGGGCGUAAAGAGCUCGUAGGCGGUUUGUCGCGUCUGCUGUGAAAUCCCGAGGCUCAACCUCGGGCCUGCAGUGGGUACGGGCAGACUAGAGUGCGGUAGGGGAGAUUGGAAUUCCUGGUGUAGCGGUGGAAUGCGCAGAUAUCAGGAGGAACACCGAUGGCGAAGGCAGAUCUCUGGGCCGUAACUGACGCUGAGGAGCGAAAGGGUGGGGAGCAAACAGGCUUAGAUACCCUGGUAGUCCACCCCGUAAACGUUGGGAACUAGUUGUGGGG